rnacentral:rRNA from 1 species
UACGGAGGGUGCAAGCGUUAUCCGGAUUCACUGGGUUUAAAGGGUGCGUAGGCGGGCAGGUAAGUCCGUGGUGAAAUCUCUGAGCUUAACUCAGAAACUGCCAUGGAUACUAUUUGUCUUGAAUUUUGUUGAGGUAGGCGGAAUAAGUCAUGUAGCGGUGAAAUGCAUAGAUAUGACUUAGAACACCAAUUGCGAAGGCAGCUUGCUAAACAAAUAUUGACGCUGAGGCACGAAAGCGUGGGGAUCAAACAGG